GUUGAUGGUAGGGAGGAAGCAUGGUUCCUUCACUGAGCAGGGCUAUCUUGUUUCCAUUGGGCAGCCUCUCAAAGCAGGCUAGAGGAGAUCAACGCCGCAGAAGCAAUGUUUAGAAAGCAGCAGAGGCAGAGAAUUGCAGCUCUGACAUCAGAAAUGGAGAGAGCCCAAAGCAUGCAUCAGGAGAGCUUGCGGCAAAUAGCACACUGGCAAGCAGGGCUAGACGUGUCAGAAAAACUGUUCCUGGUGGGUGAGGACAUUAGAAGAAGCCUUGCAAAUAAGUACGACGAUCACUGGUGAACGUGAAGUCCGGCCUGCUGGGACCUCUCCUCAGAAUGCUCAAGAAGGACCUUCCACAAAAAUUAAUCAAGUCCGGGAUGCUGCGUUCAGGGCAACACAGUCAUACAACAGUGCUUUGAGCUAAACUUUUGAAGCUGAAAUAAAUACAUCCGACAG
rnacentral:lncRNA from 7 species